rnacentral:lncRNA from 1 species
UAAAUUUCCAAUUGUUUGGAAUCCUUUUUUUCUUAUUCAUCUCCAGUUUUGUGCACAGAGGGUGGGUGUGGCAUUUGUGAUCUAUUAUUGUUAAUGGUCUCCAUUUAAAAUCAUUUUAUUGGCUGUGAUUUCCUUGCGAUGUGAAACCUAUUUUAAUGCAGCGUUUGCUUUUCUAGCUGCAAAAAAUUGUUUGAAGAAAGAUAAUGAGAAAUGGGGACUCUAAUUGGCCUACAGUUCGAUAGAAGAAAACUAAGUCUACCCAAACACGAUAGUAGCCACUGUUUUCUCUAAACUAGGAAAAAGCAGCAGUAGAAUUGUUGAUUAGUCUUGCAGAAGGCUAUAGUUCUCGCUGCCAUCCGGUUUUUCAGCCUAAAAAACAGGUGCUGAGCUUUGAGGAGAGUAUCAGGGUUUGGGCUCUGCUGCCUUUCCCCAAAGAACUCACUUGGGAAGCAGUCAGAUUAGAAGAUAAUUCUGAAACAAAUGCCAGCCACUCUUUAAUUACAAAAAUGACGGAUGAGCUGUAUCACCAUGUGCCUGAGAAUCAUUGUGUUUUAAAGGACUUGGAUCAUCUUCCUACUGAGACGUAAGUUCCAGGACAUCCUGACAACUGUUGAAACAUUGAUUCUGCAGAUUAGCAUAGCAAACUUAGACAUUUUCUAUGUUUUAGAUUUUAUAAAGUAGUCUUAGAAUACCACUGUUACUACUCCAAGAGGAAUUAUGAGAUCAGUUUUGACAAUCUCUGUGAAAGCGUGGCACAUCUGAUGAGGCUGUGAAUGUCACAUUCUGUUUGCCACAAUUCAGUGUAUUUAAUUAACACUUGCCGUAUGUCACGGUUGUCCCUGCAGACCCACCAGUGAUACGCAGCUAGCCCUGGCUCCCAGAAAGCCGCAGCCUUGCAGGUACAGGAGAGUGAGGUACAGGUGAGGAUCACAAUGCCUGCUCCAAGUCUGGCUCUGUUUGCAGGUGGCCCCAGCUGCUCCGUGAGCUCUGCAGUACACACUUUCCUACCCUCUUCUGCCCCAGGAUUGUGCUGGAAGUGCUGGUUGUGUUCCAAAGCAUCAGCAAGCAGUGUCACCACGUGUCUUGCCUUGGAGCUGAGACACAGGCAGUGGGUGGAGAGGAUGCUGCCGUCUCGCCAGCGGCUGAACUACCUGCGUAUGUGGAGUAGUAUCAGAAUACUGUCCCCUGUGCUCAGCCUGAUCCUGUUCCUCAUUACACUGGAGUUGGUCAACGUUCAUGCUGUUCAUGGGAAGAAUGCACGUGAGUAUCAGCAGUACCUAAAGUGAGUAUGUUCCACUUCUCUGUAGUCGCAUUGCAUCGUGGGCCAGAUUGGGGGUGAGCCUGUAGGAGUGAGACUGGGGCAGCAUGAGGGCCACCAUCUCCUUGGUGGCCCCACCGCCGUCUCAGGCAAGGGUCUGACAACUGACCUACAAGAAGAACUCACACAAAUGUCUCAAAACCACAUUUUGUUUGUCUGUUUGUUUGUUUUUUGGAGACAGAGUUCCAUCUGAAAAAGGCAGGAAAACACAAAGGUGGGGGGCUUCCAGGUUAUAGGUGGACAAGAGACAAAGGAUUGCAUUGUUUUGAGUCUUUCAUAAGCCUUUCGGUGAAUACACAAUUGACUUGUGAGUGGGGGUAGAGGAAUAGUGACUUACUCCUUAGUGUGGCUCAGUGAAGCUGCAUUUUACACAGGGCAGAGGAAGCAAUCAUAUAGGUAUUUGUCUCAGGUGAGCUAAAGGAUGACGCCCUGUCCCAACCCUAACCCUAACCCUAACCCUAACCCCUAACCCUAACCCUAACCCUAAAACCCUAAGCCUAACCCCUAACCCUAACCCCUAACCCUAAACCUAACCCUAACCAACCCUAACUGUAACCCUAACCCUAACCACCCUAACCCUAAAACCUGACCCUGACCCUGACCCUCACCCUCACCCUGACCCUGACCCUAACCCCUAACCCUACCCCUACCCCUACCCCUGACCCUGACCCUAACCCUAAUCCUCACCCUCACCUAAUUUUUUUUUUAAUUUUUUUUUUUAAGGAAAGCUAUAGCUAUUCUGGGUUAUCAGAUUCUAGUCUUGUUUCUUGUUUUGGGGCUAUUUUUACCUCUUUGUAAACUGGAUCCUGCCAUCUGAUGAAUUUUGUCCCACAAUGAUACUUGUGGAAUAAGAAGCCAAGUAUUGUCUCUCCUACUAAUGUAUGUAUUGUCAGUUAAUUUGAAAGUCUCCAACCCUGGAACAAAGUUAGAAGAGGUAAGUUUUGCUCCCCAAAAUGCAUAACCAAACUGUGGUACAUUCAUGCAAUGGAAUACUAUUUAGCCAUAGAAAGGAACAAGCUAUCAACUCACACAAAGACAUGAGUGAAUCUUGUAUGCACAUUGCUAAGUGGAAGAAGACAGUCUGAGGAGAAUACACACAGUGUGACCUCAUUUAAUGAGACACUGCAGAAGGCAAACUACACAGAUGAGAAACCAUUGGCUCCAUGGGGUGGGGGUUUGAAGCAUUCCAUAUGAUACUUUAAUAGUGGGAUAUCUACCACAAUGCAUUGGUCAAAAUACGCAGAAUUUUACAACCAAAUGGGUAAAUCAAACUCUAUUCAAAUUAAAUAAAAUUACUCAGGAUGUGGAGUAUCCUAGAACAGAAUACAUCAUGUGAAAAAUAAUGUAACUAUGCUAC